CUUUUAGUCCAGCGACAACGUCAAAUAUGUCAGCUUGGGGAUUUAGUUCUUGAAGUUUUCUAACUGCUGUUUGUGAAGUGUUUCCACUGCGGCAAAUAACACAGACUUUUCCGGAUAAAUUUUGCAGUGAGUCGACUUCACUUAAGGGAAUAUUUUUAAAUAAAGGAAGACGGCAUAUUCCAAAUUGUACUGGCUCACGAACAUCUAGGAAAGUAAUAUGAGGUGAUGUUUCAAUUAAAUUUUUUAAAUCCAGCGCAGAAAUCCUUCUGAUAGGAGCUAAUUGUUUAGAUAACGUAGGAACAUAAUCACAAAUGGUAGUGUAUUCUUUGGGAGAAGAUUCCAUAAAUUCUCGACUAAGCAUUUUGUUCGGACCACAGGCCUUGCAGCUUUGUUGGCGUGGGCGGAUGCGAAUAUGCUUCCAUUGAGGGACUUUGAAUGCAUGAAAAAGGAGCAUAUAUGGAUCGAACUGAUCUUUUUUUAUUCCAUUUAUAUGCAAAAUCAGUUUUACCGUUUCUAAAGCUUGCAUCGUCCCCAUCGUGCCAACAACUGGACCAAGGAUACCAGAUUUAGCACAACUCGCAACAACUGGUGUGGGAUUUGGGAACAUACAACGAUAACAGGGACCAUUACAAUAAUUGUAAAUACAUAAUUGUCCUUCUAAUUUUAAGGCUGAAGCGGAAACCAAUGGCCUGCCUAGAAGAACGCAAGUGUCCGAAAUUAAAUACCUUGUAUACUGAUUAUCCGUGCAAUCCAAAACCACAUCAUACUGUUCGAUUAUACUAAACAGAUUUGAAGCACUCGCAAAUUCCAAGUAAGUAUUAAUAAUUACAUUAGGGUUAAGACUAAGCGUUAGAAAAACAAUUGUACACAAAAUAAUUUCACAUACUCUUCUAAAAAUUGCUUUGCAGAUAUAGCUUUGUGCAUUCCUUGUUUACUAGUAGAAUGAAUGAUUUGACGAUGCAAAUUGCUUUUGUCAACAACAUCUCCAUCCAUGAUCCCUAAAGUUCCAAUUCCUGCAGCGACUAAAUAUUGCAUGGCAGGACAUCCAAGGCCGCCUGCUCCAAUUACCAGAACUGAAGACCUUUUAAGAGAUAAUUGACCUAUUGGUUAGAAAACUGAUUUAAAAAAGUAGCAGACUCCGAAGACUAGAUUAUCAAAUUUAGAUUAUUCUAAUCAAUAAGCUUUCAUUAUAACAUUUCGGUAAGUUAACAUAAAAAUGUUUCAAUUAUUAAUAUGUCCAUCUUGAAAGAAGCUCUUAAAUUCAAUAUUGAACUGGAUUAAGAGUUUUAAAAAAUUUGAUAACUUCUGAAAGUACUUAACAUACCUGGAAGACCUAUCUCAGAAAGCAGCAUUUGACGUCCAUAUCGGGAAUACUCGUCGAGCGACAAUUCCAACCCAUUGCUUGAGCAAAUUAUUUUCUCUUGUGGAUUCAUCCUCUUCUUUUUUCUCACUCUUGCAGAAGUUGUACGAAUGCUUGAAAUUUCUGACACAGAAUUUCGUUUUCUAAAUAAUUAGCAGCUUAAAGACUUAAAGUUGCUGUCUACAGCUACACUAACAUACUUAACGUCAACUACAUUUUGUGUUACUUAUAUUAAUGUGCUAAUAAUCAUUUAAAUACAUUAAGCUA